UACGGGGGGGAGCAAGCGUUGUUCGGAUUUACUGGGCGUAAAGAGCUCGUAGGCGGUUUGUCGCGUCUGCCGUGAAAGUCCGGGGCUCAACUCCGGAUCUGCGGUGGGUACGGGCAGACUAGAGUGAUGUAGGGGAGACUGGAAUUCCUGGUGUAGCGGUGAAAUGCGCAGAGAUCGGGAGGAACACCAAUGGCGAAAGCAGGUACCUGGACUAUUACUGACACUCAGCUGCGAAAGCUAGGGGAGCAAACAGG
rnacentral:rRNA from 1 species